AAAUAAAAGGGGUGUGUAAAACCUAAUUUAAUUCUAAUAGCAGAUUGGGCCUAAGCCCAAGUGAAAAGGGGUAUGAAUAUGCAAAUAGGGGGGGCUGCAAGGAGGAAAUUCGAAUGGGCUUAAGCCCAAGGAGGAUGGGGUGCGAUCUAACAGAAUGAGGGGGUGCAUAAACGUUUUUCUUUUAAUUAAUUUUUUUGUUUGGCAAGACCUGGGCCUGAUUUAGGGGUGCGGUGGUAGAAAAUAGGGGUGCGGAAGGAGGAACCCAGCCCAGAAAGUUGGCACUUCUGACCUAGAAACUUUAGGGGUUCUCUCCUAACAUCUCAUUUCACACUCAUAUUUCAAAUGCGCCAGAGCUAGGUUUUCUCCAUGGAGGUUUCGUGUCCUCCACCCACUCACGCACACCGCCACUGUCGCCGGAAUCAGCCACGCUGACCGCCGCAAGCCAAGAACCACGGUGUCGCCGGCGACAACACGUCCCACCGGAGCCACCACCAGCGAUAUCCCCCGAUCUCCUCGAGCGACAGAGAAGCAACGUGCUCCUCCACGGCUUGAGCGAGCCUGGUCGUAUCGUGCCAGGACGUCACCGGCAGCACAGGUCACCGCCGGACAUCGCGUCAACCCCCUCCACUGCCAACCAAAGCCGGCCACCGCAGGCCACCAGCUGGGUCAUCCUCUUUCUCGAUCAGGACCUCCGUUGGGUAAGCCUCUCUCGGUCGUUCCAAAAGCUUCAGUGGGUUGCUCUGCCGGUGAAGAUGAAGACACCGUUUCGUUCUCUUUCUUUUUCUUUUUUUUUAUUUUUGGUGAAUACGCAGUUUAAUGGUUCAAGCUCAUUGUUAGUGAUUGGGGAUGGACAGAGGCGUGGGGAUUUGGAUCCUGUUACUGGUUGUUGGUUUGAAUGGUGAUGAACGAAUUCAAAACUUGGAUGAAGAACAGAGGGUAUGUUUUGGCUUUGAUUGUGUUAGUUGAAUACAAGCUUGUGUUUGGGUGCUGGCAAUCAAUCUUGGUUCUUAGUGAUUGGUUCUGUUUUCUGUGGCUUGUUUGGGUGCCUUGGGUUUCUGUUAUGGCGUUAUUGUUGCGCUUAAAUAGGUUGGGUUAGCUUUCUUUUCUUGCUCAACUGUUGGCUUCAAACAUAGGUGAAAAAAGAACAAAGCUUGGGAUGGUGAGAGACAUUCGGUGAGUUGGUUUCCGGAUAAAAGAUGGGCUGUGGGAUUUUACUCCCGGUGGUAUUUGUGUGGUUUCUGGGUGCUAACAGGUAUUGAACUUUUGAUGUUGGGGGAUAUAUACUUAGCCUCUACUGUUAGCAAUACAUAAUGAAUGUCGCAGGUAUUUGAUUAAACGAUAAUGCCAUACAGAGAACACAACUAUUUUAUUAACCAAGCAACAGUCAUUCAUAUUCAGGCACGCCAUGUAAACAGGGAACAUACAUUCGCAUAGGACCAAAUCCGAGGAGCUUAGACAGAGCAACUUACCUCCAUAGCUUCAAUAGAACUCUCUUAGGUGAAGGCAAAUGGUCCUCCUCUUCCUUGGCUGUGAGGUAUCUUCCUCCCAGAUUGAGAUGAUAGGUAAAUGGUGAUGGGUUUCCAAUGCUCAAGUUCCGUUGGUGAGAUGCUUGAAACUGAAUCCUCUGCUUCUCUUAUGGUAAUGAGAUAUUGCCGAUGAAUAAUUGGGAGUGAAAGGGAAAUAUGGUUGGAGUGGUCACGGGUCCCAGGAGCCAAGGGAGUCCGUUCUUGAACAGCGUGGUCAAAACUUAUCCCUCUCACUGUCUCAGCUGUCAUCUUCUCCGUCCUCAAUCACACAGGCAUAGGCAUAUCCCCUUGUCCCCUUUUUCCUUUUUGCGUUUAAGUUGGGUUAAGUAGUCAAAGGCAUUCAAAUUUCCAACCCUCUUCGAUGUAAGAUUGCGACUCUGCACAAAGAGGAUUUUGGCAACAACAGGAGGGUAGCAGGAGGGACUGUGUAGCAUGAAAAGGCUUGCAGAAAGCCCGACUGGUGUUUGCCUAGGCUGAAGACGGGUGAAACACAAUACUGCCAUUCCUAAAAAGGCUAGUCGACUAAUGUCCCUCUUUUCUUUUCUUGUUUUGUUUUUUUUUUCAUUUUAUUUUUAGUUAUUUAUUUUUUAGUUUUGUCUGUACAAUAAUGUUUUAACCUAUAUCUAAGAACGACUUCACUUUUCUUUUGAA